rnacentral:rRNA from 1 species
UACGUAUGGUGCAAGCGUUAUCCGGAUUUACUGGGUGUAAAGGGAGCGCAGGCGGCACGGCAAGCCUGAUGUGAAAGCCCGCGGCCCAACCGCGGGACUGCAUUGGGAACUACCGGGCUGGAGUGCCGGAGAGGUAGGCGGAAUUCCUAGUGUAGCGGUGAAAUGCGUAGAUAUCAGGAGGAACACCGGCGGCGAAGGCGGCUUACUGGACUGUAACUGACGUUGAGGCUCGAAGGCGUGGGGAGCAAACAGG